rnacentral:rRNA from 1 species
GAUCCUGGCUCAGGAUGAACGCUGGCGGCGUGCUUAACACAUGCAAGUCGAACGGGAAACCUUUUAUUGAAGCUUCGGCAGAUUUAGAUUGUUUCUAGUGGCGGACGGGUGAGUAACGCGUGGGUAACCUGCCUUAUACAGGGGGAUAACAGUCAGAAAUGGCUGCUAAUACCGCAUAAGCGCACAGGACCGCAUGGUCUGGUGUGAAAAACUCCGGUGGUAUAAGAUGGACCCGCGUUGGAUUAGCUUG